ACUAGCCUUAAGCCUACAUCUAUGUACACAAAAUGCAUACAAAAAAGAAAUUCCUUACCAUGCCCUCACCGAAAGGCAGUGCACUGAAAAUGACUGCAUCACACUGCUUUUGACUGAAACCCCCACUGCAUAUGACUGUCUUAGGCAUAUCAUUUUUUCUUAAUGUUUUAAAACCACUGAUUUUGACUGAAAGACCACUGCAAAGCACUGCAGGAAUGAGGGUUAGGGGUAGGCGACACCGCCAGGAGGCAGGAUUGCCGAAGAGUGGGUCAUUUUCCAAAGAAAUCGAGGGCACAAUCGGCAUGAUUUACCCAGGGUAUUCACCGGGAAAAUUAAGGGGGAUCCCAGAGUAAGAUAACUAUUUGAUGAUGCCUUUUCUCUCCUGAAAAGAUUGGUAUAGUAAACUAAACACGGAGUAUGAUUUCUCCGGUAGUUAAGUCCAUUGUGUCAAGAAUUUUAAAGGCAUUCACGCUACCACGUUACCACAACUGGAUCAUGAUUUUCAUUUCAUUUCAGAGUACUUACAAAUCCAAAUGGGAGUCAUUCUCCCUUUGGAACUGCUGUCCACAGUUGGUUUUUCCCUGUUGUAGAUUUCAACAGCUUUCAGUCUGAUGGCAACUGCCUCCAUGAUGGAGUCCGAGUGUCUGGGAUUGCUCCAGAGGGUUGCCCACUACAGAGGAGGAAGAAUGAAUAGAAUUAACAUUGACCCAUCAGUUUGGUUUAGAUUACCAGUAAAUAAAGAUGAUGCACUAGGUUACUUCAAUUUGAUUCAGCACCCAAUGGAUUUUUCAACCAUCCAAGGGAAAAUAAAGAGUGGUCAGUAUAAAGACAUUGAGGACUUUCAUACAGACAUGCUCCUCCAUCACAGAUAAUUGUGUGAAGUACAACAGAGAUCCAGCAAGUCAGAUUCGGGUUGACUGUGAAACUGUCUUUGGCUUCUACACUGUUGAGUAUGAUAAACUGAAGAGCAGGAUAAACUGAAGAGCAAAGAUCGAAUGGAAGGAAAGACUGAGAGCUGAAUUUGUACCCCCUGUUAAACUUGACCAAUAUGUUCAGGUAGAGAUGAAAUCGAAACUACGGUGUGUGACGAACCCGACCCGUGUUCUGCCAAACGACUCUGCGAGGUGCUACCUGAGCAACACAACCAUGACUAAACGAGUUAACAAAACAUGCAAGGCAUUGGAAGCAUUUCAUGGAGCUGAUUCAAAAAGUGUGCAGGAUGGAUUGUGGCUGACGUUGGUUAAAAAAGCAGGAAAGGGAGCCAUUCAAAAGUACUAUUCAAAUUUAUCGAAUUUAUGGAAGGCAGGGUAACAAAGCAUAAGGAACGGGUAACGGAAGCAAAUGUGGUCCGGUGUGUCAAAUACAUGUAUCGUAAUGGUUCAAAUAUCCAUUCGAAAAUACACUUCAUUGCGGCAGGCAGAUCUCAGUUUCGAAUGUAGUGGUGAUGAGCUGAUGACAUAUCAGUUGAAAAGUAUUUGUAAAGAGCUUCAGGUUCAUGAAGUUGCAGGUGUUUCCGGCUGCUACCGGAAUCUCGAAGACACCCUCCUGAAGAUAGCAUCAGUCUAUUUAGAGAUAGAUGAGAAGUUACAGGUUAAUGGGCAAUCUUUGAAUUGGCUGAAGAAGGAAAGAGGCCAUUUUUCGAUAUCUGUUGGGGCAGAUGGUGCUCCUGCCUCGAAGUUGAAAACGCACACGUCUGUUCUAUUGUCUUUUCUGAAUUUGCCUGAGAAGGUUAAUAGCUGCAUGUACCAGUUUUUGUUGUUCGGGGCUGAUGUACCUGAGGACCAUGCUUCUAUUCUCAACUAUGUUGCCAAAAUAGCUUCAAACAUGGAGUCCAUUGAGAAGAAAGAGUUCAUGAUUGGAUCCACUGUGGUCAGGUUUACUCUUGAACUUGUUCCGGGUGACUGCAAGUGGAUAGCCACUGUUUGUGGCGAGCUCAGCAAUGCAGCUACCUAUCCAUCCAGUUAUGGCAAUGUGCGAAAAGAUGACCUGUCAAAGCUUGACGGAAGUUUAGUUGGCAGUGAAUCCACCUGGAAACCUUGAUCGUAUCUUGAUCGACUAGCCGUGGUAAAAAAAGUGGCCUUGAAAAAUCAGGAGGCCAGCAGGCGUGAUGUAGUGACUAAAUACAUUGCAUCCUUGCAUUCUAGGCAAGAACACGUACCUACACUUGGCAUUUACCGCACUGUUAUCUCUUCAUCUGAAAAAUAACAUCUGUGCUCAGCUUCCCCAGGCUAUUUUGACUGAAGCCCUAACACUAACUGAUGAUAAGGUCAUCAGGGGUGGCAUUGAUUUUAAGAAUACUGCUUUCAUAGAAUCUCCCUUUGGGAGAUACCUGGUUUGUCUUUGGGAUGAAGUUCACGCUGGUCGUAUUUUCAUACAGGUCAGAAGGUGGUUUACAGAGAAUUGUGCAGCUCUGUCAAAAGGUUCCUGUGGCACAAGGCUUCUUGGUGUAAGGUUUACAGGAGAAGACUCCUUCAAAUUUUGCCAGGGUUACCCCUACUUGAUCAAGGCUGUGGGACAAAAUGGGACUCCUGAUAGACAAUUCAGACUCCUGGAAUUUCACUUUGCCUGCACGGUUGUGCGCGAAGCUAUUGGUCUUGCUUCAAAGAUCAAAUUCAGUCAGUUUGAACUGCAACGAUUGCAGACUGUUUGUCGACAGUACCAUGCAUGUCACGUUCUUUUGAUGACUGGAGCAAACUUGACAACUUGGCAUCUUGGAUAUGUUGUUCCAUUUCAUGCGGAGGUUCUUUAUUACCGCUUAGGAGUUGGUCUAGGUAUCAAUAGUAUGCAAGGACGGGAGGCCAAGAACAAACAAUUGAAGGAGUAUGCGAGAUUCAGUACCCCCCAGAACAAGUGGGGUAUGAUAUUCCGGUAUGAAUAUCUUGAUCUGUAUUGGCUCAAAGAGCAUAAUAUGGAUGUUGUUGUGAAAGAUUUGGUAAAAGUAGGUCCAGAGAUAGAUAUCACAUCAAUCCAAAUGUGAAAGCUGACAUGUGUAAGUGUGGUUUAGCCACUGAGGGUACGUCUAUUCUGCAAUCAUCCCACAAUGAAGCUGAUUGAAAAGCUGUGAGAAAAGACGUGAGCUGUGAGCUGUGAGCUGUGAGAAAAGACGAAUCUCACCAGAAAUGAGGAAGGCACAGCGUGAUGUUGUCUGGUAGAAAGGCCUUUCCAUUCCUGUUUUUUUAAUUUUAAUUUUUAAUUUUAAUCAUAGGUACAUCUAAUAAAGCCACAUAACAUAUCAUACGGGUUUUUGAUUUGACCUAUUUUUUAAGGUCGCAGAAGUCAAAUAGUGUAAAUUGGCACAUUUUGCAAAUAAUGAAGCUUUUGACUUAAAACUUGGUACAAUUGUACCUCCUAAAGAUUCAUGCACUUGAUUGGGAACAACGUUUACAUAGUGUUGGCUGUCGUCACGUCACGAUACAUUGUAACUCUGACGGUUUUACAUUAGUGUAACUACAUGUAAUGGCCAAAAGCUGUGAGCAGUUAAAGGUGGAUUGGAAUAUUCUGUAAUGGCCAAAUUUCUAUAGAAUGUGCGUUGAUAGCCCUGCAUCAGGUUAUAAUGGCACUGCCUUGGUCAAUAGCCACUGGUGUAUAAUGCAGGAAAAUGAGGAUAUUUGUUGUGUUGUUGUACAAGGAUUCAUAGUUGCCAGAUUUGCAUAGAUUAUCAAAAGGAAAGGAGUUCAGUUCUAAAUUGGUUGAUUGAAAAACGUGUCCAAAUGUCAAGUUUUGAAUGCUCAAUUUUGUUGUCCACGACUUCUUAAUGUCAUUCAUACAAAUUAUUAAUGAAUGUCAAUGAUAA